rnacentral:rRNA from 1 species
GACGAACGCUGGCGGCGUGCUUAACACAUGCAAGUCGAACGGAGAUUUUAUUUCGGUAAAAUCUUAGUGGCGAACGGGUGAGUAACGCGUAGGCAACCUGCCCCACAGCCGGGGACAACUUCCCGAAAGGGAGGCUAAUACCGGAUACGAACCGGGCAUCGCAUGAUGCCGGGUUGAAAGAUGGCCUCUAUUUAUAAGCUAUCGCUGUGGGAUGGGCCUGCGUCCGAUUAGCUGGUUGGUGAGGUAACGGCCCACCAAGGCGACGAUCGGUAGCCGGUCUGAGAGGAUGGACGGCCACAUUGGGACUGAGACACGGCCCAGACUCCUACGGGAGGCAGCAGUGGGGAAUCUUCCGCAAUGGACGCAAGUCUGACGGAGCAACGCCGCGUGAGGGAGGAAGUUUUUCGGAACGUAAACCUCUGUUGUUCAUGACGAACGAGCUUUUUAUCAACAACGAAGAGCAGUGACGGUAGUGAACGAGGAAGCCACGGCUAACUACGUG